UACGAAGGGGGGCUAGCGUUGCUCGGAAUCACUGGGCGUAAAGCGCACGUAGGCGGCUUAUUAAGUCAGGGGUGAAAUCCUGGAGCUCAACUCCAGAACUGCCUUUGAUACUGAUGAGCUUGAGUCCGGGAGAGGUGAGUGGAACUGCGAGUGUAGAGGUGAAAUUCGUAGAUAUUCGCAAGAACACCAGUGGCGAAGGCGGCUCACUGGUCCGGUACUGACGCUGAGGUGCGAAAGCGUGGGGAGCAAACAGGG
rnacentral:rRNA from 1 species